CACGUAGGGGGCGAGCGUUGUCCGGAUUUAUUGGGCGUAAAGAGCUCGUAGGCGGCUUGCUAAGUCGGGUGUGAAACCUCCAGGCUCAACCUGGAGACGCCACUCGAUACUGGCAUAGCUAGAGUCCGGUAGGGGAGCGUGGAAUUCCUGGUGUAGCGGUGAAAUGCGCAGAUAUCAGGAGGAACACCAGCGGCGAAGGCGGCGCUCUGGGCCGGAACUGACGCUGAGGAGCGAAAGCGUGGGGAGCGAA
rnacentral:rRNA from 1 species